AGCUCAGCAACUCCUAUCCCUACCUCCUCGCGGUACUGACCACGGUACGAGUAACCUUAGGGAAGAUCGGGUAACCAACCCCAGUGGAAACUCUGAUCGUAUGCUGACAGGGAAGG
rfam:Aedes aegypti strain Liverpool supercont1.811 genomic scaffold, whole genome shotgun sequence.